AGGCGUUUGACUGUUUUCAAGUCAUUGUUAUGAAGAAUGUUUGCAGAAAAAACCUUGGCACUUGAUCUGAUUUCUCACAUUUCCCCCUCUGAACUCCACGCCCCUGAUGAAGAACCAGACAGGAACGGGACCGGCUGCUCUGUAUGGAGGAGCCUCAAGUGGUGUGAAGGUGGAACCGAAUGCAGGACUAUACCGGCACUGAUAAACUUGACAAACUCUACAGACAAGAGAGCUACAAAACCAGAAUAGAUUUCUACUUCAUGAAUAGUUCUGAAAUAUUGGCAUUCUUUAUUCUUGAAUCAGAGCGGACUUCCAGAUUUCAAGAUUUCCCCAAGAACAGCAUUUUUGAAAAUCUAUUACUUUAGAUCUCAGCUUUUCCAAUAUUAUCUCUAAAUGUACACUUUGCAUCAUUUGUUUUUUUUCACUAUGGAAAACUUCCUAUGCACCAUUUCUGAUGCUCAUUUUUUCUGAAAACAGUGUGUUCCAAUGAAAGAAAUGUAAUUUGGCAUAUAUUCUGAUAGAAGGAUGCAUUUGCUUAGAAGAUCUUUAACACACUUUAGGUUUCAGCGUAAAUGUAAUUAAUCAAAAAAGCCAAAAAAGCAAUCCAAAGGAUGGCUCUUUGUAAUGCUAGUAAGGCUACUAAAUAGCAUGUCUGUUGCAGUUACAAUCAAGCAGAACAAUAACAAUAAAUCUAUGACUCUAUGAAUAACACUCAAAAUAAUACGGGCGGUUACUUGUACAAAAUUGAAAUCUGUGGAUUUUUUCCAUGUUUCUUCAGACGGGAUCCAGAGCACAUCGGGUUCAGAGAAUUCAGUUCGUGUGCAUUAAUUUUUUUAGAAAAAUUCCAAAGGAGAGGCAUUUCUAUCCCUUUGUUGCCUUGUAGCUCAGGAAUACAGCUCUGCCAGGUGUGCUUUGGAAAAUAGGCAGUCAGAAGUUUUCUGAGAAGUGCUUCUAACUUGCGUUGGCCUGGCAAGCACGGGUAUGCUUAAUCCAGAAUCUGAGAUGAACCUUAGAGAACUGCAAGCUGCUUGACCCAGAAUUAGCUUUGACAUGAAAACACUGCUUGUAGAAAGCUUGAAGCUUAUAUCAGGUUUAAUCUUGUUGGGUGCACAGCUUCCUAGCUGUAUCUUCCAACAGAGAUGCACGUUAAUGAAGCCUGUAUUUUUCUGCUCAUAAAUCAGUAAGAGUGGAAAAUGAACAGAUGGAUUGACUUUUCACAGGCAUCCCCAGACAAGAUGCAGGAGUGCACCAAUUCUCUUCUCUCUGCCCAGAAAAAUCCCUUAUGCAAAGACUUUGGCAUCUAAACAUCAUUACAUGCUCUUGUUCAUUUCUGAGACCCUCUGCUGUAUUUUUGCUAUUUUUUCUUCUCUUAUGCACUGCUAACUAAUUAGAGUAGGGACCUUUUAUCCAUGUGUAGCAGGGAACAAUUUCCUCAUUUGUCUUCAGCGAUGAUUAUAUCGUGUUUAUAACAAGUUUAAUUUAUUUUCUGUUUGCUAAGGGUGAGCAUAGGGGAAGAUAAUGACAGUAUGAUGACAGACAUUCAUAGGAAGUACACCUUGCAUUUUGAAACUACGUAAAAAUAGAGAAAUAAUGCUGAAAACACAUAAAAAAGAGCGCAACGUCUUUUUCCCAUCGCUCUUAAAAUUUUAUUGCAAGCCAGUUGAGAAGGCUGCUCAAAAACAGAGUUUCUUGGGUAAUUCCUGGGUCACUGUAGGAAGAGAUGUGUGGAUUUCUUCAGAAAGGCUGGGUACAG
rnacentral:lncRNA from 7 species